AUGAAUGCCCUGACUUCUGUUGAGGCCGUAUCACCCACCGUAAGUGCUGCAUGGCCAAUGCAGACCUCGAUUGACCAUGCCCAGAUGCACAAUGGACUUCUCUUUCCAGAAUGCGCUUUCUCCCGCCAACUUAAUUGUGUAAAUUGUUUGCGUUUGAUUAUGGCCAAGGAAGUUGCACAGAACUUCCCCAACAUCCCCUCCCAAAUUGAUGUGGAACCUUCAAAAACACAUGGAGCAACAGCGAAAAGAAAUGGCUGAGGAUAUACUAAAAAUGUCUGGUAUGUAAUGACAUUUAAUUCAAAGUAAAUGUAAAUUCUUUAUUUUUAUGUGGUUGUGUGGGACAGCCAUAUGUUCAGUUCAUGCCUAUGAUUUCAGAGUUCAACAAAGCCAACAACAGCGUCAUGUGUGCCACUGAUAAAGAACCUGGAUGUAGCCCAAAGACUGACUGGGUUAGUAACUUUAUUUAUCAUGUUUAUAAUCUUUUGACAACAGUGACGGCAUGUAAGACAAUUUAUGAUAUAACACAAUGGAUGGCUAAUUCGUCAUUCGUCAUACUGCAUUGAUAUUUGAUAUUAUUUAUAACGUAUUACGCUUUGUUAUGUUUUAGAUUGAAUGUUUUGCAUGUUCACGGUGGUUCCAUGUGCUGUAACUAGGAAUGAAGACAAAAGAGUUCAACAGAGUAAAGAACACAAACUGGAAGUGCAGUCUUUGUUGUUGAAAAUGUAUGCUAUACCCCAUCCACACUGAAGAGGCUCUGAAAUGUACAUCAACCAGGGAUAAAGAGAAAGUUAACACUGUGAAAUGUUUCAUACUUAUUUGAAGUUAAGUGUCUGUUGACAUGUUGGAAAAGAUUAAAGGUCUACAAUUUCUGUUUCAUUUGUCAAUAUUACAUUUUUAGUCAUUGAUUUACUGGCCACCAUUACUGUGGUUACAUGUUCAGUCUACCUCACUAGCUCACUCUCCAUCCCUGCUUUGGAUAAUUAAUAAUAGCAUGACUCUCGUACUUUGCCCUUUUCCUUUAUGGUUGAUAUUAACAACGAAAGGAGAUAUUAUGUGUCUCUCUCCUAUUGUGUACCACUGUUAAAUACCGUGGAGAAAAAAAAACAAACAGGGGAAAUAAGUAUUUAGAACUACCAAUUAUUAUAGAUAAAUAUUAAAGAAAAGGGUAAACACAACACUGGACUGAACCCCCUAAUUGUCAAACUAAUAUUAAUGUACAACAAUAUAGAAGAUACAUGACAAGAGGUUAUGCAAUAUGGGUGUAUAUCCACUGCACGCUUCUUAGGUGUGUAAUUGACAUGACCAAGGAGCUACUGCAAAUUUGAAACUAAUUUGAAACUAAUGUCAGCGGACAUUAGGUCACAUGACCAAUGAGCUAUUGAAAUUUUACAUUUUGAAAAAUGUAUGUAAAACCAUGUGAGGUGAAAAUGGAGGUGGGGGUGACCAGUGAAAUUCAUGUAACACCAUGUGAGAUGAAAAUGGACAAACUAAAGGGUGUGCAAUGUGUAGGCCCACUGAGUGGACAUUCUGAACCUGGUUUGAAGUCAUUAGGUGACAUGACCAAGGAGCUAUUGAAAUUCGAAAUGUAGAAAUAUUCAUGUAAAACCAUGUGAGAUGAAAAUGGACAAACUAAAGGGUAUGCAAUGUGUGUCUAUGCCAUCGGGUUAGCUACAACCUGUUUUGAAAGUGUCAGGAGUAAUGGUUAAAAAGCUAUUGAAAUUUGAAAUGUUUGAUUUGUCACGAUGUUGAUGGUCCCUAACUGCUGUUGGUGGAUGUAAGGAAAACUACAGGCAAAUAUCCAACCUAAAACUGUCUUUACCUUGGUGCAUAUAAAUGUGUCCAUUUGGGGGUCUGAUUGUGUUUUUGAUUGGCUUAAUACACCACCGCUAAUGACCUGUGGAGCUUCUCAAAGUAAUGUUUUCUUCAGCUCAAACAGCAAGCAAACAAAGUCUAUUUUUACAUCCAUUGAAAAUUACAACAGUUCCUCAAUGCAUUAGAAAAACUUUCCAGCUAUCUCCCUUUCCAUAACAACUCA
rnacentral:lncRNA from 13 species